AUUUGGGGCACGCCGUUGUGCCUUCCGCUUUGAGACAGACACCACCAGAGCUUCUGCCAGCACCUCCGUUGUAAUUCCUCUUCACCGGCCGUUCGUCGUAUAGGUUGCUGCUGCCACCAACUUAGGGUUGUUGCUCUCUGUCGAGCUCCUUCUUCCACUGUCAUUCAACCACCGUAAACGCUGUCNUCGGAGACCUCGUCAGUCACGAUACCGAACCCCCCCUUUUUCCUUUUCUGUUUUGGUUUAUAUGAAGAUGAAGACUAAUGGAGGUUGUGGUUGUUCUGUUUUGGUUUGUUUUGUAGGUUGAAUGUGAGAGUCUUGAUGUGUUUUUGUGAUGGAGGAGGNGGUGGUUUCGUUCUUGUUUUGUUGUAUUUCUGUAUUAUGAAAGAGGUGGUAGCAUUGAAUCGUCAAUGGAGAAUGAAUGAUGAAGAUGAAUUAUAGUGUAGAUGAAAAUGGAGUGUGCAAUGGUGAUCAGGUUUGGGAAAGGAAAUUUUGAUAGAGAUGAAAGUGGUGGAGGUGGUUACGGUUUUUUGAUCCAGGAAAGGAAUCCAGAAUCAAAUUUUUUGUUUGUGAUGGUGAGUAUGAAGAUGGUGGAAAGGUUCUGCCUCUAUGAGUGGCCCCCCAAUUUGACGUGAGGAUGAAGUUGGUUUUUUUCUGUGUGUUCAUUGCUGGAUCGUAACUGUCUUUCCUCUGCUUCCAAUAUGCCCACCCAAAACCAAAUUUUUUCUUUUUUUCUUUUUUUUCUUUUUGAAUUAAACCAAAUAUUAAAACAAAAAUUAAUAAAAAAUAAAAUAAAAUAAAAUAAAAUAAAAUAAAAUAAAAUAAAAUACAAAAAAUAAAAUAAAAUAAAAACAAGUCCUAUUAUUUAGUCACCCGGACGAAAUUGGGUGUUGACAAUUAUGCAUAGAUAUCAAAAGCAGAUAAGAUGCACAAUGCAGUACAGAUAAUCAGAGUAUACAAACAGUAUAGCACAUAGUUGUAUCAAAGAUAAGAUAUCAAACAAUUCAGU
rnacentral:lncRNA from 1 species